AUUGAACGCUGGCGGCAUGCCUUACACAUGCAAGUCGAACGGCAGCACGGGUGCUUGCACCUGGUGGCGAGUGGCGAACGGGUGAGUAAUAAAUCGGGACAUGUCCUGUAGUGGGGGAUAGCCCGGCGAAAGCCGGAUUAAUACCGCAUACGAUCUACGGAUGAAAGCGGGGGACCUUCGGGCCUCGCGCUAUAGGGUUGGCCGAUGGCUGAUUAGCUAGUUGGUGGGGUAAAGGCCUACCAAGGCGACGAUCAGUAGCUGGUCUGAGAGGACGACCAGCCACACUGGGACUGAGACACGGCCCAGACUCCUACGGGAGGCAGCAGUGGGGAAUUUUGGACAAUGGGCGAAAGCCUGAUCCAGCAAUGCCGCGUGUGUGAAGAAGGCCUUCGGGUUGUAAAGCACUUUUGUCCGGAAAGAAAUCCUUGGCCCUAAUACGGUCGGGGGAUGACGGUACCGGAAGAAUAAGCACCGGCUAACUACGUG
rnacentral:rRNA from 1 species